CCAGAUCUAGAUCUGAUGGCCCCUAGGCCACCAGUUCAUCCCCACCGGUCCACCAGAGUGCCCCGCAGCCCGAUCCCGCCUCGAUCUUCUCUGCCUCGACGGAGCAGCCGUCGCCGGCCACCAGGAACCGUGCCCUGCCUCGUCCCUCGCCCGCCGGUGACCCCGACUUCAUCCAGGCACUGCCGGUAACCUCGCCCUUGCCUCGCGCUCCUCUUCUUCCCCGUUUUUCCUUGCUCCGCUGUUGAACCGCCUGUCGCUGCUAUUUGUCACCAUAGGGAGCUCCAACGCCUUGAAGCUACAGCGCCGCCGUCGAGUCGCCACAGCCUCGAAUUCUGCCGCCUUCGUGCCGCCCUGCCCUUUCCCGUCCUCCGCCCGAGCCGCCCAGACCCGCGCACGUUGCCGGCAGGAAGCCGUCGCCCCGCCAAGUCCCUCGCCCCGCCUCUGCUUCCAUGCUCCAGAUCGAACACCAAGGCUCAGUGCAGGCCGCCUCCGCUCCUCCUCACCUCGUCCGCGUCGCCGGGAUCGCGUCAAGUCCGCCACCGUCGUCCUCUUCUCGGGAACGAGCUCGACCCUUGCGUCCUCUGCAUCACGGCCGCGCCAAGGCCUCUGCUUCUUGUGCGUUGACCGCGCCAGCCGGCCUACCUCACCGAUAUGUCCCCAGACCUUUGCUCAGCAGCCCCUCGGCCUUUACCCUGUUGGGCUUCCUGCUCAGAUUCGGCCCGUGUCAUUUUUUUCCUGUUCCAGCGAAUUUAGACAUUAUCCAGGAGUUUACAGUUUUGCAGAAAACCCCUCAUGUUCAUGCAUUUAAUAACUAAUUAACCAUGCAUCGGAUUAAAACAAAUUAUAUAUGUAAAAUGCUCAGUUUUCCUUGUACUUUCAUUUUCUGCAACUUUCAUCCAUGUUAAAGAUGUUUAAAAUGUUGCUUGUUUCAAUUUUGCAUAAAUGCCAUGUUAAAAUGGUUUAUUUCAUAACUAAAUAACUGUAGCUCCAAAUUAAAUGUUUUAUAUGUGUAACUUGCUUGGAAAAAUGCAUAGAUUAACUUGGUGCACUUUAUUUUGAUGUUUAACAAUAUUAAAAUAUGCUUUAGGGCAGAACACUACCGAAUUCGUAAAUUGCACAUGAGGAUUUUCCGGAAUUGUUGUUUGUUAUUCUGGCCUCAUUUAAACUUACCUAGAUAGGUAGUUUGAUUAUGCUUCACCCGUUGCCAUGUUUAACAACAUUUAAUAUUGUUGAGUAGAUUAAACAGGAGAGAACCAAAUAAUUGUUGCGGGGUUUCGUCAAUAUGCAACUCGUUACAUAUUGAGCUCCACUUAACUUGUAGUGUUGUUUGUGCACUUUGCCAUGCCAUGACUCAUUAAACCGGACAUGCAUCAUACUUGAUUGUGCAUCAUGCCAUGUUUAUGUGAUGGUUGUUUACCAUGUUGUUUGCUUCUUUCCGGUGAUGCUUCUUCUUGAUAGUUCCGGUUAUGUUGCGAUUGUGAGGUUUCGUUCCACUACGUUGGUUCGUCUACUUCGUGGACUCGUUCUUCUUUCUAGCGGGAUUUCAGGCAAGAUGAACAUUACCCUCGAUAUCACUUCUAUCUUUGCUUGCUAAUUGUUCGUUCUAUCGCUAUGCCACGCUACCUACCACUUGUUUAUCAUGCCUCCCAUUUUUGCCAUGUCAAGCCUCUUACCCUCCUUCCUAUCAAACCGUUGUUUGGCUAUGUUACUGCUUUUGCUUAGCCCCUCUUAUAGCAUUGUUAGUUGCAGGUGAAGUUGAAGAUUGCUCCAUGUUGGAGCAUGGUUAUGUUGGGAUAUCACAAAAUCUCUUAUUUAAUUAAUGCAUCUAUAUACUUGGUAAAGGGUAGAAGGAUCAGCCUUUUUCCUGUUGUUUUGUUUCACUCUUGCCGCCCUAGUUUCCGUCAUACCGGUGUUAUGUUCCUUGAUUUUGCGUUCCUUACGUGGUUGGGUUAUGGGACUCCUUCAUAGUUCACUUUGACUAAAACUCCUCCAGCAAGGCCCAACCUUGGUUUUAGAUUUGCCUCACCUAAGACUUUCCCUUGGAUUUUCACGAGCCCAAGGGUCAUCUUUAUUUACCCCCCCCCCCCCGGGCCAGUGCUCCUGUGAGUGUUGGUCCGAACUAGAGUCCUUUGCAGCGCCACCUCAGGGAAACUUGAGGGCUGGUUUUAGUUUUACGGAGUGCUCAUUUGGUGUGUCCUGAGAACGAGAUAUGUGCAGCUCCUAUUGGGAUUUGUCUGCACAGUCGGGUGGUCUUGCUGGUCUUGUUUGCCAUUGUUGAAAUGUCUUGUACCGGGAUUCCGAGACUGAUCGGGUCUUUCCGGGAGAAGAAUAUCCUUCGUUUAUUGUGAGAGCUUGUGAUGGGCUAAGUUGGGACACACCUACAGGGUAUAAACUUUUGAAAGCCGUGCCCGCGGUUAUGUGGCAGAUGGGAAUUUGUUAAUGUCCAGUUGUAGAGAACUUGACACUUGACUUAAUUAAAAUACAUCAACCGCGUGUGUAGCCGUGAUGGUCUCUUUUCGGCGGAGUCCGAGAAGUGAACAUGGUUUGGGUUAUGUAUGAACGUAAGUAGUUUCAGGAUCACUUCUAGCUUCUCGACCGUUGCGUUGCUUCUCUUCUCGCUCUUAUUUGCGUAUGUUAGCCACCAUAUAUGUUUAGUGCUUGCUGCAGCUCCACCCCAUUACCCCUUUCCUACCCAUAAGCUUAAAUAGUCUUGAUCUCGCAGGUUUUGAGAUUGCUGAGUCCUCGUGACUCACAGAUACUACCAAAACAGUUGCAGGUGCCGGUGAUACCAGCGUAGGUGAUGCUACCGAACUCAAGUGGGAGUUCGACGAGGACCUUGGUCGUUACUAUGUUUCGUAUCCUGAUGAUCAGUAGUGGUGCCCAGUUGGGACGACCGGGGAUCUAGCAUUUGGGGUUGUCUUCCUUUUCAUUUGUAAUCGUCCGUAGCCGGACUAUGUGUGUACUCUGAUUGAUGUAUGUUUAAUUAAUGUAUUGUGUGAAGUGGCGAUUGUAAGCCAGCUCUUUAUCCGAUUCUUGUUCAGUACAUGGGAUUGUGUGAAGAUGACCCUUCUUGC
rnacentral:lncRNA from 1 species